GUACUUACUUCAGCAACACAUACAGUAAAAUUGGAACAAUGCAGAAAAGAUUAGCAUGGCCUCAUGCAGCAUUCCAUAUUUUU
rnacentral:snRNA from 1 species